rnacentral:misc_RNA from 1 species
UCCGAGUUGACCCUGCCCCGAAGGGAAGCCCAGUUUCCAGAGCGGUCAGGGACAUGUCAAGCCCAGGUAAGGUUCUUCGCGUUGCGUCGAAUUAAUCCGCAUGCUCCGCCGCUUGUGCGGGCCCCCGUCAAUUCCUUUGAGUUUUAGCCUUGCGGCCGUACUCCCCAGGCGGGGCACUUAAUGCGUUAGCUACGGCGCGGAAAACGUGGAAUGUCCCCCACACCUAGUGCCCAACGUUUACGGCGUGGACUAC